rnacentral:rRNA from 1 species
UACAGAGGGUGCAAGCGUUGUUCGGAAUUAUUGGGCGUAAAGCGCGUGUAGGCGGCUUGGCAAGUCGGGUGUGAAAGCCCUCAGCUCAACUGAGGAAGUGCGCCCGAAACUGCAGAGCUUGAGUACCAGAGAGGGUGGCGGAAUUCCCCAAGUAGAGGUGAAAUUCGUAGAUAUGGGGAGGAACACCGGUGGCGAAGGCGGCCACCUGGCUGGAUACUGACGCUGAGACGCGAAAGCGUGGGGAGCGAACAGG